GAAGCAAUAUUCAAAACAAGAGAUAGAUCGGCACUGAAAGUAGAUGACAGCUUAAUGAGAUGGGGAAAUAAAGCUUAUACGUUUUCUGUAAUUCUCAUGCGCGUGUGCACAUCUCAGAGAGACCCAAGUGCAGAUCCACUGUCAAAUGUGUCUCCCUUGCCCACUGGAGACUUUAUCAUAAAAAUAGAAUGUAGUUUAUAGGCUGUAAAGAAGCAGCGACAUUUUCAACAGCCAGUUGGUGAAAAUGAAAGCCAGGAUUGCCUGGGGUGAUCUUGGACACCACACCAUGGGCAUCCACUGCUGGCUGCUUAUGGCAGUUAAGAAGAAUGUAAACCCAACAUCCAGCUGCAAAUGCAGAUUCAAGUUCAUCCACCCACUGAAUAGUCUGUGGAUGUGGCUUGUAAACUAAGUCUGAUUCCAGGCAUAGACAGUUGUUCUACCAAGCUUUACCAUAAACAACCAUAAUCCAGAUACUGGUAAAAUUCCUUGCACAGGGACGUCAGCAACAUCUAUACCUCUUAAGGUCCCCAAAGACAAACUGAGGCAUGAUUCCACCCAAAUUCAUUCUGAGGAACCAGAGACUUCACUGGGCUUCCUUACAGAACAUACUGAGGGGAUACUUACAGAAGUGUGGGCAUUCCUCCCUCGACAGGCCACACCUGAAAAACUCUUACCCAACAGGCAUGAGUUUCCCCAUAAGUGCAUAGAUAGAGUGCCCCUCCACCACUCUUCCUUGAACUGUGUACACAUGUCAUUAAGACGAGUCACAUAAAACAGGUGGUUUAGAGACGCAAGAUACUCAGAUGAGGGUCUCAUGACCGCACCCCUCCAUGAGGGGUAUGAACAGUCAACAAGUCCAGAUGGAAUUCUCCUUUUGUAAAAUGACAUAGCUGAACUCCUCAACAUGCAGUGGCUUGGCUCAAAGGACAGUCUAUCACAAUACCUGGCCACAGAUAGCCCUGUGAAUGUGGCUAGAGAUUGACCACUGUGUACCAGAGUCUUGCAUCUCACAAACCAGCCCUAACAAUCAACAUAGGAAAGGAGAAGUGUAUGGACAGUGUGCAUCAGCCACAGGGGACCAGCUACCAAGCAACACGCAUGUCUUUGUAAAGAUAUCUUCAAAAUCAAGAAGAAACUGCCCACAAAGCGAUCUACAAUUUGCCUCUCCAUCCUUAGCACUGGGUUGAAACAGAGCUGCAGAGAUGCUUUGGUGAGUAAGCAUGGGU